rnacentral:snRNA from 1 species
GACUUUGAAAAGAGAGUCAAA